AGCAAGCAGCACUCAGGAGGCUGACAAGGAGCAACCAGGAGAACUGCACAUGGGUGGGGCAAAGGCAGUCUGGACAGGGAGAGAGCAGAGUCCUCCAGGACAGUACUUCUCACCCUUUUAGUGAGGAAGCCAGGGAGUUUUGUUUACCUGAGUUAUAUCCACUGACAUUUAUCAUAUUAGAAAUUAAAACAAAAAAUUAGACUCAAGCAGAUUCCAGUAGCUGUCAGAGGGAUGAUGUCUUCACACAUCAUGGAGCCAUGGAACAUUCUACUGUAUUCUUUUGAGAGAAUGAAGGGCAAAUGAUUUUGUUAUGAAAAUAGUUCUGGCCUUAUGGCUCCCUGGAAGGGUCUCAAGUACAUGCAGGUGGCUCUGGGCCUCACUUUGAAAACUGCUGCUGUUCCAGAGACUGACCCCAGGUGGCGCAGGGCUGAGCUGAGUGAGCACAGGGGUGGGGAGUGCCCCCAGGGUGGGGGGAGAGUCCACCUGGUGCACUUAACAAACCUGAGCUUCUUUCUCACCAGGCUCAGAUUCUGCACCUGCCUCAUUCUGGCAUGUGUCAGAGGAACAGCAGUAGUACCACAGGGCUGCCACGAGGAGUGUGCUCCAACCAAGGCAGACCUGACCUUGGCCCUCUCAGGAAGGGAGCCCAGGAGGCCUGCAGGCAACUACCGGCCAGAGGAUGGAGGCCAUUCAGCUACUCUUCUGGUGGUGUAUAGACCCAUAUGGAGCUGACACAUGGAUGUCCUGUCUCCUGGGAAGUUCAGCUUGGAAGCUCUGACCCACCAUUGAAUAGGGGAAGAAGGGCAACCAAGAACAGAGACCACUAAGCAGCUGAGCCCCAUGCACGCAGGGGACGCACGUGCUGCAGAGCUGUAACUGCAGGAAGG